rnacentral:rRNA from 1 species
UACGGAGGGUGCAAGCGUUAUCCGGAUUCACUGGGUUUAAAGGGUGCGUAGGCGGGCAGGUAAGUCCGUGGUGAAAUCUCUGAGCUUAACUCAGAAACUGCCAUGGAUACUAUUUGUCUUGAAUGUUGUGGAGGUAAGCGGAAUAUGUCAUGUAGCGGUGAAAUGCUUAGAUAUGCAUAGAACACCAAUUGCGAAGGCAGCUUACGUACACAAAUAUUGACGCUGAGGCACGAAAGCGUGGGGAUCAAACAGG